AAGUGUCGCUUUACAAACUAGGAUGGAGGCAUUACUUUCCAGGCUACUGCCACGUCGACCAAAUUCGCCUAUAAAACCUGGAUGAAUUCAUAGUUAAAUCAAUCGUUUCCCAAGCAGCAACAGUCAGCUCUUCAACAUGCAAUCGCACAAGAUUUUUGUGGCUAUGUUGGUCGUAGUAAUGGUCUCACUGGCUACUGCUAAACCCGUUCCCGGAUACAAAAAAGGAUCGGAUCCUAAUGCUGAAGCCCAAUUGCAUCGCAACAUCAAGAAAGAAUACGGAAAUGAAAAACGGUACGAAACUUUGAAAAACUCCAACGUUAAAUUCGUUCAAGCAGAAGAAAAGUCUUUCGCCGCCAAAAACCCACCAGCUGCAGUUAUAGCCCCAGCAGUAGUUCCGGAUAAGAAUAUCGGAGUUGCACCGGAUCGCAAAUGUCCUCUGCCAAAGCAAAUGGAUUCAAAGGGAAACUGUCGCGAACCUUGGGGCCGCUGAAACUGUUGAGUUUUGAAUUUCAAAAUGCUUGGCUUUUGGAGGACAAUAUUGGAGUCGCUUCACCUACUACCCAGUCAUGUUUACCGAGCACUGAAUACUAUUCAAUAUUCUAAACCCCAUAUUCUAAACGCCAAAAACCCACCAAAUGCAGUUCCGGCCAUAAGAAACCUUUCUUGGGCUAAAUUUGCAGACACACCCAUAUCCGCCACAGCUGAGGUGUAUUGACUUCACACGUCCAUCCGGAAUACCCUCAUUCUCCACUUCUACUUUUCCGUCAUGUAACCCACUAUAUUACUUGAUUUGCUGGCCACUCCAGAAUAUUCCAUUAUUAGCAUUACUGAAUUGAUUUGCCAAAAUAUAUUUUACUGCAUUGCA